rnacentral:sRNA from 1 species
AAUUAUUUAUUCUUUAGAGCAAUUGGGUGAAGUAUGUUUUUAUGAGCAAAUUUACCUUUCUCUCCAAGUUCUCCCAAAUUUGGAAACCAUGUUUCUGUUGGCAAUAACAUGUGCAUUUGUAUCCAAAACACUAUCUGGAUCUUAUAUGAAUUCCAUGCUCACACAAAUAGAGAGACAGUUCAACAUCCCAACAUCUCUAGUUGGAUUUAUUAAUGGAAGCUUUGAGAUUGGAAAUCUUUUGUUGAUUAUAUUUGUGAGUUAUUUUGGAACCAAACUGCAUAGACCUAUAAUGAUUGGCAUUGGAUGUGUGGUUAUGGGCUUAGGCUGUUUCUUAAAAUCACUACCUCAUUUCCUCAUGAACCAAUAUGAAUAUGAAUCUACAGUUUCAGUUUCAGGCAACUUGUCCUCAAACAGUUUCUUGUGUAUGGAAAAUGGAACCCAGAUUUUAAGACCAACGCAGGAUCCAUCAGAGUGUACAAAGGAAGUUAAAUCAUUAAUGUGGGUGUACGUGCUAGUAGGCAAUAUUGUACGUGGAAUGGGUGAAACUCCCAUCCUGCCUUUGGGUAUUUCCUAUAUAGAAGAUUUUGCCAAAUUUGAAAAUUCUCCUUUAUAUAUUGGGCUUGUAGAAACAGGAGCUAUUAUUGGUCCUUUGAUUGGACUUUUGCUGGCAUCAUUCUGUGCAAAUGUUUAUGUUGACACUGGAUCUGUGAACACAGAUGAUCUGAUCAUAACUCCCACUGACACUCGUUGGGUUGGUGCAUGGUGGUUUGGCUUUCUGAUUUGUGCAGGAGUUAACGUGCUCACUGCCAUUCCUUUUUUCUUUUUGCCCAACACACUUCCAAAGGAAGGACUAGAGAAUAAUGCUGACAUCAUUAAAAAUGAAAAUGAAGACAAACAAAAAGAAGAGGUCAAGAAGGAAAAAUAUGGAAUCACUAAAGAUUUUCUACCAUUCAUGAAAAGUCUUUCCUGCAAUCCAAUUUAUAUGCUUUUCAUACUUGUAAGUGUGAUACAGUUCAAUGCAUUCGUUAACAUGAUCUCCUUCAUGCCUAAAUACCUAGAACAGCAAUAUGGAAUAUCAUCUUCAGAUGCAAUCUUUCUAAUGGGUAUUUAUAACUUACCUCCAAUAUGUAUUGGAUAUAUAAUUGGUGGUUUAAUUAUGAAGAAGUUCAAGAUUACUGUCAAACAAGCUGCCCACAUAGGAUGUUGGUUAUCCUUACUUGAGUAUCUUCUCUAUUUUUUAUCUUUUCUCAUGACUUGUGAAAAUUUUUCAGUUGUUGGAAUAAAUACCUCUUAUGAAGGGUAUGUUGUUUUCUAAUGAAUGUGAGAAUCUUUCAACAAAUGCUUAAUAUGAUAUUUUUUACAAUGGCAGUGCAUGAUCAGAUCAUUUUCUUAUUGGAGUUAAUGAUAGUAAUCCAUGCUUUUCUUGUAUCUUUCCUCCAUCUGUCAAUCAAAAGCCAAUCUAUCCAAGCUCUAGGCUUAUUAAUGAGGUUGGGAACAUAUCACAGGGUGAGUGAAUUUAUGAUUGUAUGUGCAUGUGAGUGUGUGUGCAUGAUUGUCUUUGUGAUAUCCGAGUAGACAUUAUCCUAUGAAAGAAACUACCUACAGUUUCAGGUUGUAUUAAAAUACGUUAUCCAUAUAUCUUAUACUCCCAUAACUGAGUAAAACUAAGAGUUGAUUAUACAGUCAAAAUGGCCUUUAUAUGUUCCCCCAAUGGGCUUAAGUUUGGCAUAACUAAAUCAUAAUACAUGAUAAAUUAAUUAAUACAUAAUUCAUAUAUUUCAUUUAUAUUGCUAUGUCUAAAAUAUUGAAUAGUUUCAUAUUUUGUAUUUUAAAGGUUAUCUGGGUUUUACUGAAAUGUUUUCCAUAGUGAUGUACAUUAAAAGAAUUCACCUGUAGGGCGUAUUUUGACAAUCAAGCUAUCAGUUAAAAUGAAAUAAAGAACAUCCUAAAAUGUUUUUUCAAAAUUAUCAAGGUUUAUUAGAUUGAAAUAAUUUCAAAUGUAAAAUUGUAAUAUAAUUUUACAUAUGCUAUUUGAUUUGAGACUCAUAAGCUUCAUUUAAGAUAAGCGUUAUUAUCUCCACUUUACAGAUUAAAUUGAGAUUCAGAGAGAUUUAAUGAUAAAAGCAGUUCAUUUCAAAUCUCUUCAACCACAUCAAUAUAGAAAUGGAUUUUAGAAUUGGAAUAAAUUGUAAAGAUUGCCUCCAUCUCCAAUGAUGAUGAUUCCCAGACAGAAUGUGUAGAAAGUCGCACUGUGAUCUAGUCUGAAUGUAGUCUCUAAACUGCUAUGCAAGUGCUCUUUCAAUCAUAUUACAAGCACUGGUCACUUUUUAUAUUAGUAGAAUGUAUUUCUUUAAUUCGAAUACCUAUGUUUCUGGAGCUAAAUGUAUUAUCUAUAUUACAAAUGGAACUUUCAGAUUUUUAUCUUCAUGCUAGUCCUGUCUUGCUAUUUGCUACCUAAUGGAUGAAUCACAGAGAUUAGUUCAUCUUCAUCUUUCGAGAUCUAAUAGUAUGUGAAAACAUGACUCCACAUGGUAGGCACUCAAUUAAUGCUUGUUUAUUGCCUAUAUAUUCUUCUGAGAUAAAUCAUUGAAAGAGUGGCUAUGUGGUCAUCAAAGCAGGUCUCUUUUUAUACCAAAGCUAUAGUAAACAGGUCACACAUUGAUGACUGGAAAAUUUCUCUUUCUAUUCAUGGGAGGAGAGGAAAUCUAACUGGGGAUUGAGAUGAAAAGAAGAAAAAAAGGAUUGAAUCCUCUUUUAAUAUCUAUGGCAUUAUUUUAAAUCACUUCAGAAUUCCACAAGAUUUAUAUGUGGAAAAUGACAUCUUUGCUGAUUGCAAUGUGGAUUGCAACUGUCCAUCUAAAAUAUGGGAUCCUGUGUGUGGAAACAAUGGCUUGUCAUAUCUGUCAGCUUGUCUUGCUGGUUGUGAGACAUCCACUGGAACGGGAAUAAACAUGGUGUUCCAAAAUUGCAGCUGUAUUCAAACAUCAGGAAAUUCAUCUGCAGUUCUUGGGCUGUGCGACAAAGGACGUGACUGUUCCUUGAUGCUCCAGUACUUCCUAAUCUUGUCGGCGAUGAGCAGUUUCAUUUAUUCUUUGGCUGCCAUACCUGGAUACAUGGUUCUCUUGAGGUGUAUGAAAUCUGAAGAGAAGUCCCUUGGUGUGGGAUUACAUACAUUUUGCACAAGAGUAUUUGCUGGCAUUCCUGCACCUAUAUAUUUUGGCGCUUUAAUGGAUUCCACAUGUUUACACUGGGGAACUUUGAAAUGUGGUGAGUCAGGGGCAUGCAGGAUAUAUGAUUCCACCACCUUCAGGUAAAGAUAAUAAUUUGUUUAAAAUUGUUUUAUAAGCAUAGACUGUGCAUAACGCAGCACCAUUCAUACGUAACUUUUUCUUUGUCAAGUGAAAAGAAUACUUUUGUGUUUAUUUCCAGCAGAGAUACUGUUGUUAUAUCUCCAUUCCUUAUUUGCAUACUAGAAUUGUAUUUUCCCAUUAUUUCUCAAGUGCUUGGUAAAUAUAAGCAUACAUGGCUUUCCUAACCUUGGCUUUCAAAGUGUUGUUUGUUAAAUUCUUAGCAGUCAACACAAUAUUGAAGGUAAUGGUUGUACACUGAUACCUAUCCAAUUUAUAUUGCUCUCUAAAGGCUCUUGUUUUAUCCUGCAUGAUUUCAUCAUCUCACGAGUCUGAAGCCUCACUUCCUCUCACCACCAGUCUCUGGUCUCCAAAAUCAUAUUUUUUCUCCCUCUUUAAAUUUUGCUGAAACAAUCUUCUUCAUGUCUCCUAAUGCCUUCUCUUUGGUAAAUACAAAUCUAAUUUUGAAUAAAACUCUUUGUUAUUUCUA